rnacentral:rRNA from 1 species
AGAUGGCGACCGGCGCACGGGUGAGUAACACGUAUCCAACCUGCCGAUAACUCGGGGAUAGCCUUUCGAAAGAAAGAUUAAUACCCGAUGGUAUAAUCAGACCGCAUGGUUUGAUUAUUAAAGAAUUUCGGUUAUCGAUGGGGAUGCGUUCCAUUAGGCAGUUGGUGAGGUAACGGCUCACCAAACCUUCGAUGGAUAGGGGUCCUGAGAGGAAGGUCCCCCACAUUGGAACUGAGACACGGUCCAA